CCGAUAGUGUACCAGUACCGUGAGGGAAAGGUGAAAAGAACCCCUGUCAGGGGAGUGAAAGAGAAUCUGAAACCUGGUGCUUACAAGCUGUGGGAGCCGUACUUGUACGGUGACCAUGUGCCUUUUGCAUAAUGAGUCAGCGAGUUAAUCUGUACAGCAAGGUUAAGCGUAAGUGAAGCCGCAGCGAAAGCGAGUCCGAACAGGGCCACAGUUGUGCGGAUUAGACCCGAAACCGGGUGAUCUAUCCAUGAGCAGGUUGAAGCAAGGGUAAAGCCUUGUGGAGGACCGAACCAGUUCUGGCUGAAAACAGUUUGGAUGACUUGUGGAUAGGGGUGAAAGGCCAAUCAAACCCGGUGAUAGCUGGUUCUCCCCGAAAUAUAUUGAGGUAUAGCCUUGCGGAUUGUCUUAUGGAGGUAAAGCUCUGACAGAACUAGGGGUCCUAUCCGACUACCGAAUUCUUUCAAACUCUGAAUACCAUUAAGAUCUACCGCAGGAGUCAGACGGCGGGUGCUAAGGUUCGUCGUCAAAAGGGCAACAGCCCAGACCGACAGCUAAGGCCUCCAAAUGCAUGCUCAGUGGUUAAGGUGGUGGCGUUGUGCAGACACCCAGGACGUUGGCUUAGAAGCAGCCAUCGUUUAAAGAAAGCGUAAUAGCUCACUGGUUCAAUGGCGCUGCGCCGAAAAUGUAACGGGGCUAAGCAUGCUGCCGAAGCUUCGGAUUUGUCUCUGACAACUGGUAGGGGAGCGUUCUCUGCGGGCUGAAGCGGAACCGAAAGGUUUCGUGGACUGCAGAGAAGUGAUUAUGCUGACAUGAGUAACGAUAAAAUAUGUGAAAAACAUAUUCGCCGUAAAUCCAAGGUUUCCUGGGUAAAGGUAAUCUUCCCAGGGUUAGUCGGACCCUAAGGCCAGGCUGAAAGGCGUAGCUGAUGGGAAACGGGUUAAUAAUCCUGUACUUGUGCGAUUGUGCGAAGAAGGGACGCAGGAUGGUAGACAGGCCGGUUUUUGGAAUCCGGUGCAAGUGCGUAGGCGUGCUCCGCAGGCAAAUCCGCGGAGAUGAGCCGAGACACGAGUCCGUGGGCGUAAGCCCUGAAGCUGUUGAGCCACGGCUGCCAAGAAAAGCUUCUAAGUUUAGAUCGCGCGAACCGUACCGCAAACCAACUCAGGUGGAUGGGAUGAAUAAUCCAAGGCGCUCGAGAGAACUCUGGCCAAGGAACUCGGCAAAUUGACCCCGUACCUUCGGAAUAAGGGGUGCUCCCCAUGGUGAGACAAAUUCUUGUUCAGCCUCAGGGAGCCGCAGAGAAAUGGUGGUGGCGACUGUUUACUAAAAACAUAGGUCUGUGCGAAGUCCUACAGACGACGUAUACGGACUGACGCCUGCCCGGUGCCGGAAGGUUAAAAGGAGGAGUCAGCGCAAGCGAAGCUCCGAUUUGAAGCCCCGGUAAACGGCGGCCGUAACUAUAACGGUCCUAAGGUAGCGAAAUUCCUUGUCGGGCAAGUUCCGACCUGCACGAAUGGCGUAACGAUCUCCACGCUGUCUCGGCCAGAGACUCGGUGAAAUUGAAGUCGCGGUGAAAAUGCCGUGUACCCGCAGAAAGACGGAAAGACCCUGUGCACCUUUACUAUAGCUUGACAUUGGGUUUUGAACCUGCAUGUGUAGGAUAGGUGGGAGGCUGUGAAAGCUGUACGCCAGUAUGGCCGGAGCCACCCGUGAAAUACCACCCUUGUUUGUUCAGGACCCUAACUCGCAGCUGUAAUCCAGCGCGAAGACAGUGUCUGGUGGGUAGUUUGACUGGGGCGGUCGCCUCCUAAAGAGUAACGGAGGCAUGCAAAGGUUCCCUCAGGCUGAUUGGAAACCAGCCGUUGAGUGCAAGCGCAUAAGGGAGCCUGACUGCAAGAGAGACAUCUCGAACAGAUACGAAAGUAGGUG
rnacentral:rRNA from 1 species